rnacentral:other from 1 species
AUAUUACUGCCUUGUUUGCGAAUGUGUGCUACUAUAAUCCAACACAUUGUAAAAGGGAUUUCGACUCCGGCGGCGGAUUGCAGACCUCCUGCAUGGCUUUGCCCUCUGCAGAUGGCGGGAGCGUGAAACCGUUGGGCGAUCUUACCCACCCUGCCUAUAGCGGGUUUUAUAUUGCAUCUUACGGCAAGGCGGUAAUUAU